CGCGACUGAAACCCAGCUUCUUCUUUGAGAGAUAUUAUUAUACGAGUUUAUAAACGUUUUAAUUAUAUGGUCCCCGGAUAGUAUCUACGUUUUAAACGGCGUUUUCGGAUUGCCAAGAAUAAUAAUAAAAUACGAGCAUAACACUACCUAUUGAUAUAGUAGUAGUAAUAUUAUAGUAAAUAGCGCUACGAUACUUACGACGGGAACCAGUUGCCGGGAAACACCAGUAUUUUUUCUCUCUACAGGAAUUUAAAACCG